rnacentral:tRNA from 1 species
GCGCCCAUAGCUCAGUUGGUAGAGCAGGUCCCUUUUAAGGACAAGGUCCCUGGUUCAAAUCCAGGUGGGCGCACAA